UGGCUCGUGAUGUCCUAGCAAUUCCAAUUUCAACGGUUGCUUCUGAAUCUGCUUUUAGCACCGGUGGAAGAGUGCUCGAUACGUUUAGGAGUUCUUUGACUCCUAAAAUUGCCGAAUGUCUAAUUUGUUGUCAAGAUUGGCUUCGCAAUUGUAAAACAAUAGACAUCGAAGAAGAUCUACAAGAACUCGAGACUCUUGAAAAAGGAUUGGAGAAUCUUUCUUUGGAACUAAAUCCAUGAUGACUUUAAACAAGGUUGCUGUUUUGUACACUGUUGUUAGUGUUACUGCUGUUUCAUGAGGGAUUUGUUGCCGGAGGGAACUGUUGUAGGAUGUAGCUGCUACUGUUGAAAGGAGAUUGUUGCUGCUCCUCCUCAAGGCUGCUGCUGCUUAUUUACUUAUUAUAAAUUGUUUUAAAAUUCAUUCGAGAAUGAUACAUUAGUUAAUUUUGGUGGUUCAAGACCUUUGGUUAUGUGUUUUGAAUGGUUGUUUAAAACUAUUGAUUAAAUAUUGGAUGAUUGGUUUGUAAGAAUUUUAAAUGCUUGUUAUAUAAAACAGGUUGGAAUUUUAGAAGUA